GAGGACCCUUUUCCAGUUGGAGCAGCCUGCUUUUGGCACUUCACAGUACAGAACCUUGUGCCUGUCCUCUACAUAAAUCCUUGACACCAGGUGCACCAGGGACAAGAUACGGGAUGCAGGGUGACAUCUGUCCUGGACGCACUGCUACUGACAUGGGUGAGGCUACGUGACCUACACAGAGCCUUUCAAACGCAGACACAGAUGAAGGAUGUGUGGACAGUGGAUUCUGAAGGUCUGCCCAACCCAUCAGGUUGACACAUCAGCAUCAUGGAAAGCUUUGGUUACUUACAGACAGCAGAGAAGACAUGGAAAGCAUCAGGUCUGGAACUUCACCAGUUCACCAGGAUAUUCAGUUUCAAGGGUUUCAUCCUACAGCUGCUGGACAUCUUGCUUCAAAAAGGAAAAAUCAUUAUUAUUGUCAGUAACAUUUGCCAGUCAGGACUGAGAGACCUCAGCAGAAAAAGGCAAGUUCGGCAUGCUUAGCUCUUACCUGUCUG